UACCAUACAUAAUCUGAAUAUUCAACAAUCUGUUUUUUAUUUUAGAAAUCUUGAAGAGUUUACAGCUUGGAUGUCGCUGGAUAAUAAAGAAGUAAACUAUGCUCGUCAUGAUAGACAAAAACAUGCUAGUGGAGAAGAGACUAUAUUAUAUAACUGUAACAGAAGCUAUUCUAAAGGAUUUGUUAGUUCAUGCAGCAAACGUCAUAUGAAAACUGGAGGUAGUAUUCGUAUAAAUGGAACCUGCCCUUCACGAAUUUUAGUGAAAAUAACUACAGAUGGUUAAAUUCAAGCCAGAUUUGUCGAAACGCACGUG